GCUGGCGACCGGCGCACGGGUGAGUAACACGUAUCCAACCUGCCGAUAACUCGGGGAUAGCCUUUCGAAAGAAAGAUUAAUACCCGAUGGCAUAAUAGAACCGCAUGGUUUGAUUAUUAAAGAAUUUCGGUUAUCGAUGGGGAUGCGUUCCAUUAGGCAGUUGGUGGGGUAACGGCCCACCAAACCUUCGAUGGAUAGGGGUUCUGAGAGGAAGGUCCCCCCACAUUGGAACUGAGACACGGUCCAAACUCCUACGGGAGGCAGCAUG
rnacentral:rRNA from 1 species